UUUUCUUCCAGAGACAUUCUAUAAAACCGAAACGAUAUAGAGAAAAUUAAUAUGGCUCAUACGUAAGCAUGAUACGUACCAAUCGAGAAAUGGACCAUGUAUAU